rnacentral:SRP_RNA from 1 species
CCCNGGCCCCGUGGCUGGUGCCUGUGGUCCCAGCUCCCGGGGAGGCUGAGGCCGGCAGAUCGCUUUAGCUCGGAGUUCUGGGCUGCAGCGGGCUGUGCUGAUUGGGUGUCCGCAUUAAUAUGGUGAUCCUGGGGGAGCUUUGGGUCCCCAUGUUGCCUAAGGAGGGGUGAACCGCCCCAGGUCGGAAACAGCGCAGGUGAAAACUCCGGUGCCAAUCGGUAGUGGGAUCGCGCCUGUGAAUAGCCCCUGUAGCGUAACCUGGGUGAGACAUGGUUGCUUUUU